rnacentral:tRNA from 1 species
GCCUCGGUAGCUCAGUUGGUAGAGCAGUUGACUCUUAAUCAAUUGGUCCUAGGUUCGAAUCCUAGCCGGGGUA